rnacentral:tRNA from 1 species
GGGCGGCUGGUCCAACGGAAUGACACCUGGCCUGCAACCAGGAGAUCGGGGUUCGACUCCCCGGCUGUCCA